CCUACGGGAGGCAGCAGUGAGGAAUAUUGGUCAAUGGGCGCGAGCCUGAACCAGCCAAGUCGCGUGAGGGAAGACGGUCCUAUGGAUUGUAAACCUCUUUUGUCGGGGAGCAAAAGACGCCACGCGUGGCGUUCCGAGAGUACCCGAAGAAAAAGCAUCGGCUAACUCCGUGCCAGCAGCCGCGGUAAUACGGAGGAUGCGAGCGUUAUCCGGAUGUAUUGGGUUGAAAGGGUGCGCAGGCGGAAGAUCAAGUCAGCGGUAAAAUUGAGAGGCUCAACCUCUGCGAGCCGUUGAAACUGGUUUUCUUGAGUGAGCGAGACGUAUGCGGCAUGCGUGGUGUAGCGGUGAAAUGCAUAGAUAUCACGCAGAACUCCGAUUGCGAAGGCAGCAUACCGGCGCUCAACUGCCGCUCAUGCACGAAAGUGUGGGUAUCGAACAGGAUUAGCUACCCCAGUAGUC
rnacentral:rRNA from 1 species